AAAACGACUCUCGGCAACGGAUAUCUCGGCUCUCGCAUCGAUGAAGAACGUAGCGAAAUGCGAUACUUGGUGUGAAUUGCAGAAUCCCGUGAACCAUCGAGUCUUUGAACGCAAGUUGCGCCCGAAGCCUUCUGGUCGAGGGCACGUCUGCCUGGGCGUCACGC
rnacentral:rRNA from 1 species